UUUCUGUAGGUGAACCUGCGGAAGGAUCAUUGUCGAAACCUGCCCAGCAGAACGACCCGCGAACUUGUAUAAACAACCGGGGGCGGGGGGCGUUCUCGCCCCGUGCCCCCGAACGCCGGGGAGACACUCGUGCCUUCUUGCCGAACAACGAACCCCGGCGCGGUCUGCGCCAAGGAACUUCAACUAAAGAGUGCCUCCGGUCGCCUCGGAAACGGCGUGCGUGCCGGGGGCGAAUCUUGUGCAAAACCAUAACGACUCUCGGCAACGGAUAUCUCGGCUCUC
rnacentral:misc_RNA from 1 species